rnacentral:rRNA from 1 species
AACGAACGCUGGCGGCAGGCUUAACACAUGCAAGUCGAGCGCCCCGCAAGGGGAGCGGCAGACGGGUGAGUAACGCGUGGGAAUCUACCCAUCUCUACGGAAUAACGCAUGGAAACGUGUGCUAAUACCGUAUACGUCCUUCGGGAGAAAGAUUUAUCGGAGAUGGAUGAGCCCGCGUUGGAUUAGCUAGUUGGUGGGGUAAAGGCCUACCAAGGCGACGAUCCAUAGCUGGUCUGAGAGGAUGAUCAGCCACACUGGGACUGAGACACGGCCCAGACUCCUACGGAGGGCAGCAGUGGGGAAUAUUGGACAAUGGGCGCAAGCCUGAUCCAGCCAUGCCGCGUGAGUGAUGAAGGCCCUAGGGUCGUAAAGCUCUUUCACCGGUGAAGAUAAUGACGGUAACCGGAGAAGAAGCCCCGGCUAACUUCGUGCCAGCCGCCGCAGUAAGAC